rfam:Flavobacteriaceae bacterium 3519-10, complete genome.
ACAUUUCUACAUUUGUACCAAUGAAAACGACCCAAAAUACAAACUGGUGGUGGCCUCAAAACUUUCAAAGUCUUGAGCAUCGCUCUUUUGUGUAAAAAUUAUAUUUUAUCAAAAAUAAAAAAGACUUUGAC